CACCGGCAUUUGGUGUUAUCACUAUUUUUUUAAAAAAAAUUUCAAUUGUUUAAGAGUUUUGUAGGGACAAGUCCCUGUGGUUUUAAGCUGGAUUUCCCUAAUGACUAGUGAUGUUGAACGGCCUCUCACCUGCCAUCCAUAUCUCUUCUUUACUGAAAUAUCUGUUCAUAUCUUUGGCCUAUUUUAUAACUAGAUUUUUUUUUUUUUAACUACUGAGUUUUGGGAAUUAUUUUUUUUCCCCAAAAAUACAUUCUGGGAUCAUAGAAUUUUCACAUUGCAAACUAAAUGCUACCUCAAGAUAACUCUUCAAUUCAAUCACUAUUCAACAUUUCUAUUGUCAUUCCCUUUAUGGAGAAUAUUCUCAGGUAUUUAAAUAUUCUCCAGUGCUUACCUAAACCUCCUUUAGAGAGGGUCUUUUUUUUGGGAAUCUUUGAUGAACAUGCUUUUCAGCUGUGGGUAGCCAACACCCAGAGCCUGGGCAGCCUGUGGCCAGAGCCUACGUAGUGGAGGCGGGGCCACUGCGCAGGCACAGACACCUCCUCCAGCGGCCCUCGCCAUGGGGAUGCGGCUAUGGCUGCCCUAAAAGCCUGAGGGAGGCCCACUUUGCACAGUCCGUCUCUUCUUUCUUGGACGCAAGAUGUGAUGCUGCCCGUGGCUGUUUAGAUGAUAUUAUUUUAGGUGGCGAGUUCCAGGUGUUAUGGAGAAAUUUCAUGGAUAAGCACUACCAGCAUUUGAAAAUGCCAAAAAAAGAUGCUUCUGCAGAGUGAGGCCCGCGGGCACUGGACUUCAGCAGUGUUUGGGGGCGCCUUCCUUGUCAAUAUCGUCUUCCAUGCCAGCUUCCCGGAAGAACCGGGGCUCGGGCUCCCCCACCCAGGCAGCAGGCAGGAGGCUGUGUGCAGCUCGAGCGAGUGAUGGCAGAAGACACUGCUCUGUGACCUGUGAACAGAAUGUGGUGGAAGAGAAGCUAUGGCAGUUCUGGGCCCAAGCCUUAAGAAGGUCUGAUCGCUUCUGCUUAUGUGCUUGGGAGGAAACUAUUCACAAGGCAAGAAGUUGGGCUACACUGGGACUGCCUUUCUGAGAAGCCUAACCUAGACACUAGAGAGCCCCCACGGAUAAAUAGCCAAGGCCUAGAAGACAGUCUCAGCUGAGCUCCCCGCUGACAGCCAGCACCAGCUUGCCAGCACAGGUGAAUGAAGCCAUCUUAAAGGAAGAUCCUCCAGCCCCAGCUGAACCACCCCAAAAUGAUGCCAUGCGGAGCAGGUAUCCUCACAGAGCCCUGCUUAUGUUGCAGAAUUGGGAGUGAAUAAAUGAAAUGCUUGUGGUUUUAAGCCUCCAAGUUUUGCAUUAGUUUUUAAUGCUACAACACAUAAGCAUAUACCAAAGCUCCCUGCUCCCAUUGUUUUGGAGAAUGCAUUCAUUCACUAGUUUAUUGGUUUAAUAAAAUGGUAACAGCA